UGAAACAUCUCUCUUUUAUUUAUUUAGCAUUGCUUAUAAAUACAGGGCAGCUUCAUCCAGACAUCUAUACAUCUGAAAAAACAAACCAGUACUAGAAACGAUCAAGUCACAUAGAGGUACAUAGAGCUGGUGGCGUUUGUCCCAUUUCGUUUCCAACAUGAGCAAGUCAUGCGACGGUGCCAAGACGGAGUGGCCUGAGCUGGUCGGGUGCACGAUCAAGGAGGCCAAAGAAAAGAUCAAGGCGGACCGGCCGGACCUCAAAGUCGUCAUUGUGCCGGUAGGAAGUAUUGUGACACAGGAGAUCGAUUUGAACCGCGUCCGUGUCUGGGUUGACAAGGUGGCGAAGGUUCCCAAGAUUGGCUAAGCUAGCUGAAUAAAUGCCCAUGCAAGUCUCAAUAUCGUCCAGUUAAUCAACCGAAUAAAUAAGCAGGGUACCUUUUGGAGAAACAUAACAUGAGUGUUGCGGGUGUUUCGCAGAGAAUGUAUGGAUGUGUGUGUGUGUGUGUGUGUUUUGCGGGGAAGUAUGGAUGUGUUAUGUAAUGUUGUUUUGUUCAAGUUGCAAUAAGCAUCGGUAAUAUUGUACGUCCCUGUUUAUAUAUUGUCUAAUAAAUAUAAUCUACUUUAACGUA